AUUGAACGCUGUCGGCAGGCCUAACACAUGCAAGUCGAACGAGCGGCGGACGGGUGAGUAAUGUCUGGGAAACUGCCUGAUAGAGGGGGAUAACUACUGGAAACGGUGGCUAAUACCGCAUACUAUCGGAUGAACCCAUUUGGGAUUAGCUAUUAGGUGGGGUAAAGGCUCACCUAGGCGACGAUCCCUAGCUGGUCUGGGAGGAUGAUCAGCCACCCUGGGACUUAGACAGGGUCCAGACUCCACCGGUAGGCAGCAGUGGGGAAUAUUGCACAAUGGGCGGAAGCCUGAUUCAGCCAUGCCGCGUGUAUGAAGAAGGCCUUCGGGUUGUAAAGUACUUUCAGCGGGGAGGCGUUACCCGCAGAAGAAGCACCGGCUAACUCCGUGCCAGCAGCCGCGGUAAUAC
rnacentral:rRNA from 1 species